AUAAGGAAUACCUAGGAUGGGCCAAAUGGUUUCCCAAAAUCCACCUGCCAAUACAGGAGACACAGGAGAUGCAGGACUGGCUCUGUAGUUACAUAAAUGUAAGGCAAGUACCCACUCAUUGUCCUUGGCCACGGCAGUGAAGUCACCAUAAAUCUGAAUGCUGAUGCUGCAGAUCAAGGUGCCAAGUAUCCCAUCCAGUGAUGUAAGUGGGUAUCUUCGGCCAGAACCCUGCCCUUGAAGAGGGUGUCAGAAUCCAGAGAGCCAAGCAGCCCACCACCCUCGGCAGACUGGACUGCUAAAGGUUCCACAUCACCUCCAGUGGGCUUCCACUGAUGCGGGAUGUCCAUGUCAGAUAUUGACUGAGAGGCUGACAGAACCCUGCCUCUGCAGUCUUGGCUUUUGUCUCCAAUGAACAGAAGCUUAGGCAAGGUGUUCAUCGGACCAUCCAAAAGGCCGGACAGA
ensembl:lncRNA